rnacentral:rRNA from 1 species
GACGAACGCUGGCGGCGUGCUUAACACAUGCAAGUCGAACGGAAAGGCCUCUUUCGGGGGGUACUCGAGUGGCGAACGGGUGAGUAACACGUGAGUAACCUGCCCUUGACUUUGGGAUAACUUCAGGAAACUGGGGCUAAUACCGGAUAGGAGCUCCUGCUGCAUGGUGGGGGUUGGAAAGUUUCGGCGGUUGGGGAUGGACUCGCGGCUUAUCAGCUUGUUGGUGGGGUAGUGGCUUACCAAGGCUUUGACGGGUAGCCGGCCUGAGAGGGUGACCGGCCACAUUGGGACUGAGAUACGGCCCAGACUCCCACGGGAGGCAGCGGUGGGGAAUAUUGCACAAUGGGUGGAAGCCUGAUGCAGCAACGCCGUGUGCGGGAUGACGGCCUUCGGGUUGUAAACCGCUUUCGCUCAUGACGAAGCUUUGUGUGACGGUAGUGGGUAAAGAAGCACCGGCUAACUACGUG